UGGGAAGUGAGGAGCGUCUCCGCCCGGC
rnacentral:piRNA from 1 species